rfam:Faecalibacterium sp. CAG:74 genomic scaffold, scf199
UGACCCGUCCCGCAAGGGGCGCAAGGCCGAACGGACAGCCGGGUCAAAUGCCGA